UUAAAAAAUUUAAAUACAUAAAAAAAAUAAAAUUUAUCAACUUACAUAUAUUGGAUGAUCCAAAUAAUUGAUAAUAUGAUCUUCAGGUGCUAUAUAAUUUACGUACCAUUUUUAAUCACUAUAUAUUAAUAAUUUUUUUUCUCUUAACACACUACUCGCACUACUAUUACCAAGACACUGCUAACACUAACACUCUCUUCUUCUUUCUUGGUGAGAUUAUUUUUUCUUUACAUUCUUCUUUUUUUUCUUUUUCUUCUAACACUAACACAUAAGCAGCCUCACUAUCAUGCAUGAAAUGGAUCACAAGAUUUAUUAAUUUAUAGAGCUUGCUUCAUCGCUGAUUACCAGAGUGGAUAGGAUGUCCCUUGCAUGCAGACCACCUGCAACACGUUCCCUCCGAGUUGCUACAGUCUUCCUAAAAAACGCACGAAAACCUGCAAUGCUUCAGGGACUCUAGGACAACACGCCCACGGCGUAUUGGCAAGACACUGCCACCCGUCACUAUUCGCCACACUUCUGAAGGAUCAUGUCACCAUGCCUUCUGCGUGUUAAAUGACCUUCAUAUCCCGCAAAACACUUCCUUCCUCAAUAUUGAGCAAAAAAUAUUCCUGUGUAGGCCAUAUAAAAAAUAAUUUCUGCUAAAAUUGAUUUAAGAGCAUUUUAGAUCGAAUAUUUAGUAUUUAAAAAUUUUUAUUUUUUAAAAAUCUUUAAAAAUUAUUUUUAUUAUAUAAAUUAAUUUUGAUGACAUGAAGUGCCAAAUUAUGAAGAAAUUGGUCUGUGGUUUGUGGAUAAGAAGAAAUUGUUUGGUUUUUGUUAGUUUUAUGACGUAGUUUGAUGUUGGUUUAGUGUAUUAUGGACUUGAAAUAUUGUAGCAAUGAUAGUUUUUAUUGAACAAGUAGUUUGGAUGAAUGGUUUGAGAAAAUUGAUAGUUAUAUUAUUAAUGGGUUAAGGAGAGAGUACAAAGGCUAGUGGAAUUUGUGUUUGUUAGUUGAUUACAAUGAACUCCAUGAUAGUCUAUUUAUAGGCUUCUUAAGUUGAUUCUAAAUAAUUCUAAGGCUUAGAUAUUUCUAGAUAUUAACCUAUAUAUUUUUAAAUUUAGAUAUUUUAUAAUAAAAUUUAUUAAAAAUUAAUUUGUCAAAUAAAUUUUUAAAAAUUUUGGAGAAUUAAAACUUUUUAAAGACUAAAAUAUUUGAUUUAAAAUUGUUUAGAAAAUUAUUUGGGUAAUUAUUGCAAGAAUAACCUGGGGAUCCAAAUCAAUAACAACAAUCUCGAUAAAAUCGAUGAAUUCAUCAAUUAAUCUAUACGAAUCAGUAUUAUAAAUGAAUAAACAAGACCAUAAAACCGAUAUUCAAUAAUCAAUACUCAUGAAAGAAAAGAAAAUAUACAUAAAAAUCUGUUGUAUUGAAAUUGAGUAUGUGAUCCUUCGUUAGGAAUUAGAUUAAAGAGCCGCUUAGAAGUUAGAACUAAUAAUAAAGACUCAUCAAUGAAAAACAAAUCUUGCACGGUUAUACAGAAUAAAGAAUGAUAUAAACGCUUCCGCCGUCAGCUGAUUCCUCCUUGAGAUUUCCGCCGUCAGCACCAGUGGCUCCGCCUUGGGAUUGGUUGCCGUUGUUGUCGGAGUGCAGCGGAGGGUGGUAGAACUUGCGCCCUGUAUGGGAGCAAUUGGAGUAGGACCUCCAGGCAAUCCUCACGCCUUGGUCUAAAAUCUCCACAAACUUCCCCAUAAUAAAUAUUAGUAAUACCUAAUCUCUGUGAAUUGAAAAAAAAAAAAGAAUAAAUAAAAAACACUACCUCUAUUAAUAAAAAAUAAAAAACACUACCUCUAUUCCCUUAUUUUUUCCCUCUCAAGAGUUUCUUGGAGGAAAGUGGAACGGAAAUGGGAAAGCAAAAGGGAAAAGAAAGAAAAAGAGGUGUUAUAAGAAGAUGAAAGACAUCUAAGCAUGUGAGAGAGAUUGUUGGAAUGAGAAUCAGCGAAUUUGUGUGAGGAAGAGAGCGAGCGGCGGCGAGGCGUAUAUAUAGGUGGGUUUUAAUUUGAGGGGUUAUUUCCAGCCUGUU
rnacentral:lncRNA from 1 species